ACACAGGUGCUGCAUGGCUGUCGUCAGCUCGUGUCUUGAGAUGUUGGGUUAAGUCCCGUAACGAGCGCAACCCUUGUCCUUAGUUACCAGCACGUUAUGGUGGGCACUCUAAGGAGACUGCCGGUGACAAACCGGAGGAAGGUGGGGAUGACGUCAAGUCCUCAUGGCCCUUACGGGUUGGGCUACACACGUGCUACAAUGGUCGGUACAGAGGGUUGCCAAGCCGCGAGGUGGAGCUAAUCCCAUAAAACCGAUCGUAGUCCGGAUCGCAGUCUGCAACUCGACUGCGUGAAGUCGGAAUCGCUAGUAAUCGCGAAUCAGAAUGUCGCGGUGAAUACGUUCCCGGGCCUUGUACACACCGCCCGUCACACCAUGGGAGUGGGUUGCACCAG
rnacentral:rRNA from 1 species